ensembl:lncRNA
GCACGUCCCCUCGGCGUGUCUUAGCUGGACUCGGGCCGUGCCCCAAUGCGGCGGGUCUAAGAAGCAGUUUAGCCAAUGACUGAUUAAAGUUAAUGAGUGACAUAUCAUUUCACAGUCCUAAAAUGCAUUGAGGUUUGGGCACAGCCCUUCGCCGCCCUACGCUGCACUCUCGUCAGGGCGACUCUCACGCCGCGCCAUUGAACAACAUAACAAGAGCGACCACGAGCAGUGUCCUUCCAAGAAGACCCGACCCGACAUGGUACGAGAGAAGAACUUUGCCGGAGAAACUGGAGGUGAAACAGCUGGACACAGAUGACCUCACAAUCAGACAACGGACUGGCGAGAAAGGGAAGCCACGCAUACGACGCUUCUGUAUGUUGAGAUGCUACACCGGUUGUGUGUUGCCACAGGGCACUGUGUCUUAUCCCCCUGGAAAGACUGACAGCGACACAGGAAGAGGGACUCUGUCACCAACGUCACUCCUCUCCCGCCCUCGUAUGCGAGUUUGCUCGCAUACAUGCUGAACAUACGUUUCCAUUGAGAGCUUCCUUGGGAAAUGCACAGUUGACAGAUAUGCAGCGACUUCAGUCAUAUGCAGACGACACACAGAGAGAAUGACUGGAAAGGCCAGAGGGCGUCGGCCACCCUGCUGAAAUCAAUCUUAGUGAAUAAAACACUGAAAAAGGAGAAAGCCUGUCCUCUGAUGGAUGUCCUUAUGUCCUCUGUUCCAUCCCACCUGGAGGUUAUCCCAACAGAUGUCUGCGUCUCAGAGUUCCUCAUUGGCUCCAUGGUUUUGAUUCAAAAUACAACCCACAACAUUAAAUGAAGGCUGGUGUUACGUACUUACGUAAUAGAUGCAGAAGUAUUGAAAACUGAGAAGUACAAUCUGCAGACUAGCCACCACACGGUGCUCUUCAAAAUGCAGCAGUAAAAAGGGAAUCGACACUAGAAAUAAAGGGGACAGCAUUUAAUGCUCCGUUGCUUUCAUUGUGGGUGUUUGGGCAAUCAGCGGCACAAUAGGCCUAGGAAUAGGAGGAAUCCGAGUUGGUGAAGACAGAAACAAGAAGACAUGGACUAAGUCCACAAGCCAGCAUGCAGAAAACCUUUUGAGAGACAUCGUGUCCUCCCAAGUGGAGGCUUUGCUCGUGCGGCGCCCUGCUCUUAGACUCCUGCAGCCAGCGGCGUGUUUUAACAUCGUUCAGGUCAGAGUCACCGCUUGAUGGAAAGGUCACUCUGCAGACCACACGCUGCCAAGUGUGCCACCCCAGGCAGAGCUCCCCCUACGCCGUCUACAUCCGAGGCUGAAGUUGGAGGGUGACAAACAAAAGCGGGGCACUUUUCUUCGCUGCAAUACAGCUCGACUCACACUUGUCUUUUUGCCUCUCGGGGCUCAUUUAAAGUAUUUUCUCCCUCC